AACGAACGCUGGCGGCAUGCCUAACACAUGCAAGUCGAACGAGACCUUCGGGUCUAGUGGCGCACGGGUGCGUAACGCGUGGGAACCUGCCCUUAGGCUCGGAAUAACUCCCCGAAAGGGGUGCUAAUACCGGAUAAUGUCUUCGGACCAAAGAUUUAUCGCGUUUGGAUGGGCCCGCGUUGGUUUAGCUAGUUGGUAGGGUAAAAGCCUACCAAGGCGACGAUCCAUAGCUGGUCUGAGAGGAUGAUCAGCCACACUGGGAGUGAGACACGGCCCAGACUCCUACGGGAGGCAGCAGUGGGGAAUAUUGGACAAUGGGCGAAAGGCUGAUCCAGCAAUGCCGCGUGAGUGAUGAAGGCCUUAGGGUUGUAAAGCUCUUUUACCCGGGAUGAUAAUGACAGUACCGGGAGAAUAAGCUCCGGCUAACUCCGUG
rnacentral:rRNA from 1 species